CCUACGGGUGGCAGCAGUCGGGAAUAUUGGGCAAUGGGCGCAAGCCUGACCCAGCAACGCCGCGUGAAGGAAGAAGGCUUUCGGGUGGUAAACUUCUUUUGUCAGGGACGAAUCAUGUGACGGUCCCUGCCGACUAAGCCACGGCUAAAUACGUGCCCGCUUCCGCGGGAAUACGUAGGUGGCAAGCGUUAUCCGGAUUUAGUGGGUGUAAGGGGGGUUUAGGUGGGAGUGCAAGUCAGAUGUGAAAACCCCGGGCUGAACCGGUGGACUGCAUUUGAUACUGUAGUUCUGGAGUACUGGAGAGGCAGACGGAAUGCCUAGUGUAGCGGUGAAAUGCGUAGAUAUUA
rnacentral:rRNA from 1 species